rnacentral:rRNA from 1 species
GACGAACGCUGGCGGCGUGCCUAAUACAUGCAAGUAGAACGCUGAAGAGAGGAGCUUGCUCUUCUUGGAUGAGUUGCGAACGGGUGAGUAACGCGUAGGUAACCUGCCUUGUAGCGGGGGAUAACUAUUGGAAACGAUAGCUAAUACCGCAUAACAAUGGAUGACCCAUGUCAUUUAUUUGAAAGGGGCAAAUGCUCCACUACAAGAUGGACCUGCGUUGUAUUAGCUAGUAGGUGAGGUAACGGCUCACCUAGGGGACGAUACAUAGCCGACCUGAGAGGGGGGACGGCCACCAUGGGACUGAGACACGGGCCAGACUCCUACGGGAGGCAGCAGUAGGGGAUCCUCGGCAAUUGGGGCAACCCUGACCGAGCAACGCCGCGGGAGUGAAGAAGGUUUUCGGAUCGUAAAGCUCUGUUGGAAGUCAAGAACGAGUGUGAGAGUGGAAAGUUCACACUGUGACGGUAGCUUACCAGAAAGGGACGGCUAACUACGUG